UACGUAGGGUGCAAGCGUUGUCCGGAAGUAUUGGGCGUAAAGAGCUCGUAGGCGGUUUGUUGCGUCGGCUGUGAAAUCCCGAGGCUCAACCUCGGGUCUGCAGUCGAUACGAGCAAACUAGAGUGUUGCAGGGGAGACUGGAAUUCCUGGUGUAGCGGUGAAAUGCGCAGAUAUCAGGAGGAACACCUAUUGCGAAGGCAGCUCGCUGGGACGUAACUGACGCUGAGACGCGAAAGCGUGGGGAGCAAACAGG
rnacentral:rRNA from 1 species